CUCCAAUUUUUUUUAUUUUUCCUCCCUUUUUCUUUUUCUUCUUCUUCCUAUCUCUAUCUAUUCUUUCUCGAACAGCAACAGUUUCAUCGAAAUCUCUCUCGAAUCCUUUCUUCUUCGUCGAAAUCGAAAUCCAGUUUCAUCUUCAUCAAUUUCACACCCUAAAUCUCCAUUAAUCUUUACUUUAGAGUACAGAGUUUGGAUUUGGUUGAUUGAAUAUUCAAUCAUCUCUAACCUGUAACCCUAAAUUUGAAAUUGGGUGAGUAGAUUGAACCACAUCCACCAUCACCAACUUCGUCCUCUGCAUUCUACACCACUACCAUAAAAUUACCAUUAGCGGUAUGGGUUUCAUGAACUGUAAAUCUCUGCUUUGAGUUCGAUUCUUCAUUUUUAUAACUUAGAGUUAAAUUCUGAAUAUGGGUUGAAGAGUUAAUUAUGGGAAUCUUUCGCAACACAAACUGAGUGGAUCUAUAUCACCUGAGAUCGGAAAGCUAAAUCACUUGAAAGUUUUAGCGCUUCAUAACAACGACUUAUUUGGAACAAUCCCUUCGGAGUUGGCCAAUUGCUCAGAAUUGCGAGCAAUGUGAGUUCACUAGAACCACAACUACUUUUUAUUGAAACUGGUAUGUCUUGUUCAGUGCAUUUUUCAAACGUUAGAAUAAUGAAAGGUGUGAGUGUAGAAGAAGGCAAUAGAAAUCCUGAUCCUAUGACAAGCUUUAACUGUAAAUGUGUGUCUAUCUAGAGAAUACAGAACCGUAUUGGCUAAGUCGAUUGUGAUCCCUGUUUUAUUAACCACUUACAGGAGUUGCCUCGAGUUUUGACAGUAUUAAAUGUUAUCUAUCGUGUGCUGUAUGCUGUAAGUGCUUAAUAACAUUUAAUAAGUACUGUUCUGAGUUCCGAAAGCUAUGUUCUUUGUUGCACCUGAAGCCAGGAAAGAAGCAUUUUUGUUCCAAGGACCAAUGCUGAAAUCUUCUAAUUCCCUGCAAAAUAUAAUCAAGUGAUUGGGAUCUGAAUUGAUCCUUAAUUUUGAGUGAAUAAUGAGUUCACCGUAUCUUAGUACUUCUUGCUUGAGACUAAAAUGUUACCGGAGUUAUGAUGAGGGUGCUCAUUUUCUCUUAAGCUAUUAUUUUGAUCUUUAUGUAACGUCACCCAAGAAAAGAGAGGUGUAAAAUGCUUUAUUUUUUAGUUACAAAAUGCAUUUAGUGGACCUGAUUAAGAUUUUGAGCAUGUUUUAAACCCUUUCCUUUUCUUCA